rnacentral:rRNA from 1 species
UUAUACAAUGAAGAGUUUGAUCCUGGCUCAGGAUGAACGCUAGCGGCAGGCCUAACACAUGCAAGUCGAGGGGUAACAGAGAGAAGCUUGCUUUUCUGCUGACGACCGGCGCACGGGUGCGUAACGCGUA